GACGAACGCUGGCGGCGUGCUUAACACAUGCAAGUCGAGCGGAAAGGCCACUUCGGUGGUACUCGAGCGGCGAACGGGUGAGUAACACGUGAGUAAUCUGCCCCUGGCUUUGGGCUAGCCACCGGAAACGGUGAUUAAUACCGGAUACGACCACUUCUCGCAUGGGAUGGUGGUGGAAAGUUUUUUCGGCCAGGGAUGUGCUCGCGGCCUAUCAGCUUGAUGGUGAGGUAAUGGCUCACCGUGGCUUCGACGGGUAGCCGGCCUGAGAGGGUGACCGGUCACACUGGGACUGAGACACGGCCCAGACUCCUACGGGAGGCAGCAGUGGGGAAUAUUGGACAAUGGGCGGAAGCCUGAUCCAGCAACGCCGCGUGAGGGAUGACGGCCUUCGGGUUGUAAACCUCUUUCAGCAGGGACGAAGCGCAAGUGACGGUACCUGCAGAAGAAGCACCGGCCAACUACGUGCCAGCCGCCGCGGUAA
rnacentral:rRNA from 1 species